UUUAAUAUUAAAUUCUUCACAUUACAUCUUAUUUGCUUCUUCUUUAUAGAUAUUUGUAUUUUAAACCAUUAUAUUUGGAUCUUCCUGCCUGUUUCUACAUGAAUAAAAAUAAUAUAUUUUUCUUUCCAUCUGUGUCUUCUUUCUUAAGCUCUCUUUCUUUCUAUUUCGUCUUUCCACCUUCUUCCGAAAUGGGAAGGCCUUUCAACUCGGUGAAUGGUUUACGUGCAACACAGCUCCUGUUUAUAAUCCCCGUUCUCUUCACGUCCACGUGGCCGAACGUUGUGGCUGUUGCCACUCAAGAGCUUCUUGUGGGUUUCAGAGCCUCGCCGAGCCCAUCAGUCUCCUCGUUUCAGUCUCUCUUAAAUGACUCAACAGGCAAUUUCUCUAUGGGUUUUCUCCGAGUCAACCGAUUACAACUCGCCCUCACGGUUAUUCACCUUCCUUCUCUGCAACCACUCUGGCAAGUUAAUCCAACAGCCUUGGCUCGCUGGUCAGACCGCACCGAGCUCUUCUUCAAUGGGAGUCUUGUAAUUUCCGAUCCGCACUCGGAGUUAUUCUGGUCAACUGGAACUCUAGGUGACAAAGUUGCUCUUCUCAACACUUCAAAUCUGCAAAUACAGAGGCUGGAAGCCUCUCCCUCGGUGGUCUGGCAAAGUUUCGAUUUUCCCACGGAUACACUCGUCGAGAAUCAGAAUUUAACUUCUAAUAUGUCCCUCGUUUCAUCAAAUGGGCUUUACUCUCUGCACUUAGGAGACACUUUCAUGGCUUUAUAUGCUAAGUUCGAAGAAAACACACAGCAAAUGUAUUGGAAACGCAAAGCGCUGGAAGCCAGAGCAGUUAUAGUUGAAGGACAAGGUCCGAUUCUUGCACGGGUCGAAUCGAGCGGGUUCUUGGGUAUGUUCCAAACUGGAAACGCUCCAGUAGAUGUUCAACCUUUUAACAGCUAUCAGCAACCCAUCAACCGAUUCCUCUUAGUCCGAUUAGAAUCGGACGGAAACCUAAAAGGAUACUUUUGGGAUGGAUCCACCUGGGCAUUGGAUUACCAGGCGAUUUCUGCCAUGUGCGAUUUGCCUAGUCCCUGCGGUUCCUACGGUUUGUGCAAA
rnacentral:misc_RNA from 1 species